UACGUAGGGGGCAAGCGUUGUCCGGAUUUAUUGGGCGUAAAGAGCGUGUAGGCGGUUUGGUAGGUCCGCUGUGAAAACUCGAGGCUCAACCUCGAGACGCCGGUGGAAACCAUCAGGCUAGAGUCCGGAAGAGGAGAGUGGAAUUCCUGGUGUAGCGGUGAAAUGCGCAGAUAUCAGGAGGAACACCCGUGGCGAAAGCGGCUCUCUGGGACGGUACUGACGCUGAGACGCGAAAGCGUGGGGAGCGAACAGG
rnacentral:rRNA from 1 species